rnacentral:misc_RNA from 1 species
AUCUGGUCGGAUGUGAUAUUUGGGCGUACAGGUGUAGGUUUGAAUUGAUAUUUGAGGGUAUGCGUGUACGCUCAAAUUUUAGUAAAAGUAGGAGCUAGGAAGAGCAGGGCUCAGAUCGCUUCGCUUGCAGGUUUCAGAGGUGAUCGCUUAACGAACAGCUUCAAAGAAGGUUCUUCCCCUUGGUUGAUGAGUUAUUGAGAUCGAUAAAGUAAAUAGAAGGGGGAGUUAGAGGGGGUUGCGCAGCGUUCUAAAUACUGUUUCUUAAAGAUCAAAAAAGGCCAGCGUGUGC